GACGAACGCUGGCGGCGUGCUUAACACAUGCAAGUCGAACGGAAAGGCCCUUCGGGGUACUCGAGUGGCGAACGGGUGAGUAACACGUGGGUGAUCUGCCCUGCACUUUGGGAUAAGCCUGGGAAACUGGGUCUAAUACCGAAUAGGACCACGCGCUUCAUGGUGUGUGGUGGAAAGCUUUUGCGGUGUGGGAUGGGCCCGCGGCCUAUCAGCUUGUUGGUGGGGUAAUGGCCUACCAAGGCGACGACGGGUAGCCGGCCUGAGAGGGUGACCGGCCACACUGGGACUGAGAUACGGCCCAGACUCCUACGGGAGGCAGCAGUGGGGAAUAUUGCACAAUGGGCGCAAGCCUGAUGCAGCGACGCCGCGUGAGGGAUGACGGCCUUCGGGUUGUAAACCUCUUUCAAUAGGGACGAAGCGCAAGUGACGGUACCUAUAGAAGAAGCACCGGCCAACUACGUGCCAGCAGCCGCGGUAAUACGUAGGGUGCGAGCGUUGUCCGGAAUUACUGGGCGUAAAGAGCUCGUAGGUGGUUUGUCGCGUUGUUCGUGAAAACUCACAGCUUAACUGUGGGCGUGCGGGCGAUACGGGCAGACUAGAGUACUGCAGGGGAGACUGGAAUUCCUGGUGUAGCGGUGGAAUGCGCAGAUAUCAGGAGGAACACCGGUGGCGAAGGCGGGUCUCUGGGCAGUAACUGACGCUGAGGAGCGAAAGCGUGGGGAGCGAACAGGAUUAGAUACCCUGGUAGUCCACGCCGUAAACGGUGGGUACUAGGUGUGGGUUCCUUCCUUGGGAUCCGUGCCGUAGCUAACGCAUUAAGUACCCCGCCUGGGGAGUACGGCCGCAAGGCUAAAACUCAAAGGAAUUGACGGGGGCCCGCACAAGCGGCGGAGCAUGUGGAUUAAUUCGAUGCAACGCGAAGAACCUUACCUGGGUUUGACAUGCACAGGACGCCGGCAGAGAUGUCGGUUCCCUUGUGGCCUGUGUGCAGGUGGUGCAUGGCUGUCGUCAGCUCGUGUCGUGAGAUGUUGGGUUAAGUCCCGCAACGAGCGCAACCCUUGUCCUAUGUUGCCAGCGGGUUAUGCCGGGGACUCGUAGGAGACUGCCGGGGUCAACUCGGAGGAAGGUGGGGAUGACGUCAAGUCAUCAUGCCCCUUAUGUCCAGGGCUUCACACAUGCUACAAUGGCCGGUACAAAGGGCUGCGAUGCCGUGAGGUGGAGCGAAUCCUUUCAAAGCCGGUCUCAGUUCGGAUCGGGGUCUGCAACUCGACCCCGUGAAGUCGGAGUCGCUAGUAAUCGCAGAUCAGCAACGCUGCGGUGAAUACGUUCCCGGGCCUUGUACACACCGCCCGUCACGUCAUGAAAGUCGGUAACACCCGAAGCCGGUGGCCUAACCCUUGUGGAGGGAGCCGUCGAAGGUGGGAUCGGCGAUUGGGACGAAGUCGUAACAAGGUA
rnacentral:rRNA from 2 species